rnacentral:rRNA from 1 species
AACGAACGCUGGCGGCAGGCCUCAAACAUGCAAGUCUAGGGGGUGUAGCAAUACAUCACCGGCGGACGGGUGCGUAACGCGUGGGAAUAUACCUAUCGAUUCGGAACAACUGAGGGAAACUUCAGCUAAUACCGAAUACGUCCUAACGGAGAAAGAUUUAUCGUCGAUAGAUUAGCCCGCGUUCGAUUAGCUAGUUGGUGGGGUAACGGCCCACCAAGGCGACGAUCGAUAGCUGUUCUGAGAGGAAGAUCAGCCACACUGGGACUGAGACACGGCCCAGACUCCUACGGGAGGCAGCAGUUGGGAAUCUUGGACAAUGGGGGAAACCCUGAUCCAGCCAUGCCGCGUGAGUGAUGAAGGCCUUAGGGUUGUAAAGCUCUUUUACCCGAGAUGAUAAUGACAGUAUCGGGAGAAUAAGCUCCGGCUAACUCCGUGCCAGCAGCCGCGGUAAU